AGCGAACGCUGCGGCAGGCCUAACACAUGCAAGUCGAACGAAGUCUUCGGACUUAGUGGCGGACGGGUGAGUAACACGUGGGAACGUGCCCUUUGGUACGGAAUAACUCAGGGAAACUUGAGCUAAUACCGUAUGUGCCCUUCGGGGGAAAGAUUUAUCGCCAUUGGAGCGGCCCGCGUCUGAUUAGCUAGUUGGUGAGGUAAAGGCUCACCAAGGCGACGAUCAGUAGCUGGUCUGAGAGGAUGAUCAGCCACAUUGGGACUGAGACACGGCCCAAACCCCUACGGGAGGCAGCAGUGGGGAAUCUUGCGCAAUGGGCGAAAGCCUGACGCAGCCACGCCGCGUGAAUGAUGAAGGUCUUAGGAUUGUAAAAUUCUUUCACCGGGGACGAUAAUGACGGUACCCGGACAAGAAGCCCCGGCUAACUUCGUGCCAGCCGCCGCCGUAACAC
rnacentral:rRNA from 1 species